AAUAGAUACCCCGGUAGUCCACGCCGUAAACGAUGAGUGCUAAGUGUUAGAGGGUUUCCGCCCUUUAGUGCUGCAGCUAACGCAUUAAGCACUCCGCCUGGGGAGUACGGUCGCAAGACUGAAACUCAAAGGAAUUGACGGGGGCCCGCACAAGCGGUGGAGCAUGUGGUUUAAUUCGAAGCAACGCGAAGAACCUUACCAGGUCUUGACAUCCUCUGACAACUCUAGAGAUAGAGCGUUCCCCUUCGGGGGACAGAGUAACAGGUGGUGCAUGGUUGUCGUCAGCUCGUGUCGUGAGAUGUUGGGUUAAGUCCCGCAACGAGCGCAACCCUUGAUCUUAGUUGCCAGCAUUUAGUUGGGCACUCUAAGGUGACUGCCGGUGACAAACCGGAGGAAGGUGGGGAUGACGUCAAAUCAUCAUGCCCCUUAUGACCUGGGCUACACACGUGCUACAAUGGAUGGUACAAAGGGCUGCAAGACCGCGAGGUCAAGCCAAUCCCAUAAAAACCCAUUCUCAGUUCGGA
rnacentral:rRNA from 1 species